rnacentral:rRNA from 1 species
CAAAAGCUCAAAUUUGAAAUCUGGAGCCUUCGGCUUCCGAGUUGUAAUUUGAAGAGGGUGUUUCGGUUGUAGCCUUGGCCCAAGUUCCUUGGAACAGGACGUCAUGGAGGGUGAGAAUCCCGUACAUGGCUGAAGGCUUGCUUCCAUGUGAAACCCCUUCGAAGAGUCGAGUUGUUUGGGAAUGCAGCUCAAAAUGGGUGGUAAAUUUCAUCUAAAGCUAAAUAUUGGCGGGAGACCGAUAGCGCACAAGUAGAGUGAUCGAAAGAUGAAAAGCACUUUGAAAAGAGAGUUAAACAGUACGUGAAAUUGUUGAAAGGGAAGCGCUUGCAAUCAGACUCGCUCUCGGUUGAUCAGCGACGCCUUCUGGCGCGUGCACUCUGCCGUUUGCGGGCCAGCAUCAGUUGGAGCGGUGGGACAAAGGCAGCGGGAAUGUGGCUCCCCUCGGGGAGUGUUAUAGCCCGUUGCGCCAUGCCAUCAGCCCCGACUGAGGUCCGCGGUUCGCCUAGGAUGCUGGCUUAAUGGUUGU